CUACGUGCCAGCAGCCGCGGUAAUACGGAAGGUUCUGGCGUUAUCCGGAUUUAUUGGGUUUAAAGGGAGCGUAGGCUGUUUUUUAAGCGUGUUGUGAAAUGUACCGGCUCAACCGGUGAUGUGCAGCGCGAACUGGAAGACUUGAGUGUGUUGUAAGUAGGCGGAAUUCGUGGUGUAGCGGUGAAAUGCUUAGAUAUCACGAGGAACUCCGAUUGCGUAGGCAGCUUACUGUCUCACUACUGACGCUGAUGCUCGAAAGCGCGGGUAUCGAACAGGAUUAGAUACCCUGGUAGUCCGCGCGGUAAACGAUGGAUGCCCGCUGUUGGUACCUGGUAUCAGCGGCUAAGCGAAAGCAUUAAGCAUCCCACCUGGGGAGUACGCCGGCAACGGUGAAACUCAAAGGAAUUGACGGGGGCCCGCACAAGCGGAGGAACAUGUGGUUUAAUUCGAUGAUACGCGAGGAMCCUUACCCGGGAU
rnacentral:rRNA from 1 species